AUGCAAGUCGAACGGGAUUCAGUGUAGCAAUACAUUGAUGAGAGUGGCGCACGGGUGCGUAACGCGUAUGCAACCUACCUUUAACAGGGGAAUAGCCCCGAGAAAUCGGGAUUAAUGUCCCAUAACAUUAAGCUGUGGCAUCACAGUUUAAUCAAAGCUGAGGCGGUUAAAGAUGGGCAUGCGUGACAUUAGCUAGUUGGUGAGGUAACGGCUCACCAAGGCAACGAUGUCUAGGGGUCCUGAGAGGGUUAUCCCCCACACUGGUACUGAGACACGGACCAGACUCCUACGGGAGGCAGCAGUAAGGAAUAUUGGUCAAUGGGCGCAAGCCUGAACCAGCCAUGCCGCGUGCAGGAAGACGGCCCUAUGGUUGUAAACUGCUUUUGUCAGGGAAUAAACCUCCGUUCGUGAACGGAGCUGAAGGUACCUGAAGAAUAAGCAUCGGCUAACUCCGUGCCAGCAGCCGCGGUAAUACGGAGGAUGCAAGCGUUAUCCGGAUUCAUUGGGUUUAAAGGGUGCGCAGGCGGAUUGGUAAGUCAGGGGUGAAAUCCCACAGCUCAACUGUGGACCUGCCUUUGAUACUGCUAGUCUUGAGUA
rnacentral:rRNA from 1 species